rnacentral:rRNA from 1 species
AACGAACGCUGGCGGCAUGCCUAACACAUGCAAGUCGAACGAGACCUUCGGGUCUAGUGGCGCACGGGUGCGUAACGCGUGGGAAUCUGCCCUUGGGUUCGGAAUAACAGUUAGAAAUGACUGCUAAUACCGGAUGAUGUCUUCGGACCCAAGAUUUAUCGCCCAGGGAUGAGCCCGCGUCGGAUUAGCUUGUUGGUGAGGUAAAAGCUCACCAAGGCGACGAUCCGUAGCUGGUCUGAGAGGAUGAUCAGCCACACUGGGACUGAGACACGGCCCAGACUCCUACGGGAGGCAGCAGUGGGGAAUAUUGGACAAUGGGCGAAAGCCUGAUCCAGCAAUGCCGCGUGAGUGAUGAAGGCCUUAGGGUUGUAAAGCUCUUUUACCCGGGAUGAUAAUGACAGUACCGGGAGAAUAAGCCCCGGCUAACUCCGUGCCAGCCGCCGCCGUAA